ensembl:lncRNA
CAGCUGACAGUAUAGUUCCUCUCUGUUGUUUGGGUUUGCCUAACUCCUUUUGGGAACAAAUAGACUGACACACACUGACAAUAAAAAGGCCUUGUCAGUUCGCUCCAAACAAAUAUGUCCUUCAUAUUUUUUCUCUCUCUUUUUCUCCUUUCAUUCCUACACUGAUUCAGUCUUCUUUAGUCCCAUGUUCUUUUUACCUGGGAACAAGGCCCUGUUUGUACCUGUGAGGGUGAAUAGAGGAAACAAGUAUCUUUUAAUCCAAGACUGCUCUGCUGCAGAGAGCAAGUGCUAAAGAGGGCAUUAGACCAGUGCAGUUUCUUAACAUAAAACAUGUAAUUUUGCAUCUACCCAGGCAGUUCCAGACCGUAGGAACAGUUCCAAAGGUCAGGAGCACCAGGAUGCCGAGGAUAAUAAGAUUAUAUUGAACUCAUCCAAAAGUCUGAACAGGCCAGCUACUGAUGGUGGAUCUCAGACAUGCAUGUGACCACUAGACAGUUUAACCGGGAGCUGGCUGAUGAUGUGCUUAAGGCUUCUAUAUCCUGAGUCAGCAGUGGAAAAGGAGUCAGCUCCUAUCCUCCUGCCUGCAGCUGCUCCACGCAAAGGCCACAGCACCGAGUGAACAAGUUGAUGGUCUGGAAAAUUGCAUUAAAACCUGCAGGGUGUACCUCUGGGCCGAUAAAUGAUACUAAAAUGGUGAAAGAGAAGAAAAGACAAGAGGAUGAAAGCCAUCAACAAUGCUCUACCCUGGGGAAAUAAGCACCGGCCAUUUUGAAUUGGUGAAACACUAAGACCCAGCUCUAGCACUCCACUGGCAUGAAAACUUCUCCUUUGGAGACUUAACCUGUAAAUGCAUAAGCUAUGGUCAGCAGGUUUAAUAAGGGGCUGGCAUAUCAGUGCAGAACCACCCAACUCAUUUGAAAUAAUUCUCUGGACCAGAGACUGGUUAUUUUUAUCCCUUGGCUAAAGGGAAAGGGUUUAUUACCCUGUUUAAAUACUGUGAGGCUCCAUCCAGCCUAGUUCAAACUCAAGUGGUACCCCAAGCU